GCCCAGAGCCUGAAUCAGUGUGUGUGUUAGUGGAAGCGUCUGGAAAGGCGUGCGAUACAGGGUGACAGCCCCGUACACAAAAAUGCACAUAUUGUGAGCUUGAUGAGUAGGGCGGGACACGUGGUAUCCUGUCUGAAUAUGGGGGGACCAUCCUCCAAGGCUAAAUACUCCUGACUGACCGAUAGUGAACCAGUACCGUGAGGGAAAGGCGAAAAGAACCCCGGCGAGGGGAGUGAAAAAGAACCUGAAACCGUGUACGUACAAGCAGUGGGAGCACGCUUAGGCGUGUGACUGCGUACCUUUUGUAUAAUGGGUCAGCGACUUAUAUUCUGUAGCAAGGUUAACCGAAUAGGGGAGCCGAAGGGAAACCGAGUCUUAACUGGGCGUUAAGUUGCAGGGUAUAGACCCGAAACCCGGUGAUCUAGCCAUGGGCAGGUUGAAGGUUGGGUAACACUAACUGGAGGACCGAACCGACUAAUGUUGAAAAAUUAGCGGAUGACUUGUGGCUGGGGGUGAAAGGCCAAUCAAACCGGGAGAUAGCUGGUUCUCCCCGAAAGCUAUUUAGGUAGCGCCUCGUGAAUUCAUCUCCGGGGGUAGAGCACUGUUUCGGCAAGGGGGUCAUCCCGACUUACCAACCCGAUGCAAACUGCGAAUACCGGAGAAUGUUAUCACGGGAGACACACGGCGGGUGCUAACGUCCGUCGUGAAGAGGGAAACAACCCAGACCGCCAGCUAAGGUCCCAAAGUCAUGGUUAAGUGGGAAACGAUGUGGGAAGGCCCAGACAGCCAGGAUGUUGGCUUAGAAGCAGCCAUCAUUUAAAGAAAGCGUAAUAGCUCACUGGUCGAGUCGGCCUGCGCGGAAGAUGUAACGGGGCUAAACCAUGCACCGAAGCUGCGGCAGCGACGCUUAUGCGUUGUUGGGUAGGGGAGCGUUCUGUAAGCCUGCGAAGGUGUGCUGUGAGGCAUGCUGGAGGUAUCAGAAGUGCGAAUGCUGACAUAAGUAACGAUAAAGCGGGUGAAAAGCCCGCUCGCCGGAAGACCAAGGGUUCCUGUCCAACGUUAAUCGGGGCAGGGUGAGUCGACCCCUAAGGCGAGGCCGAAAGGCGUAGUCGAUGGGAAACAGGUUAAUAUUCCUGUACUUGGUGUUACUGCGAAGGGGGGACGGAGAAGGCUAUGUUGGCCGGGCGACGGUUGUCCCGGUUUAAGCGUGUAGGCUGGUUUUCCAGGCAAAUCCGGAAAAUCAAGGCUGAGGCGUGAUGACGAGGCACUACGGUGCUGAAGCAACAAAUGCCCUGCUUCCAGGAAAAGCCUCUAAGCAUCAGGUAACAUCAAAUCGUACCCCAAACCGACACAGGUGGUCAGGUAGAGAAUACCAAGGCGCUUGAGAGAACUCGGGUGAAGGAACUAGGCAAAAUGGUGCCGUAACUUCGGGAGAAGGCACGCUGAUAUGUAGGUGAAGUCCCUUGCGGAUGGAGCUGAAAUCAGUCGAAGAUACCAGCUGGCUGCAACUGUUUAUUAAAAACACAGCACUGUGCAAACACGAAAGUGGACGUAUACGGUGUGACGCCUGCCCGGUGCCGGAAGGUUAAUUGAUGGGGUCAGCGCAAGCGAAGCUCUUGAUCGAAGCCCCGGUAAACGGCGGCCGUAACUAUAACGGUCCUAAGGUAGCGAAAUUCCUUGUCGGGUAAGUUCCGACCUGCACGAAUGGCGUAAUGAUGGCCAGGCUGUCUCCACCCGAGACUCAGUGAAAUUGAACUCGCUGUGAAGAUGCAGUGUACCCGCGGCAAGACGGAAAGACCCCGUGAACCUUUACUAUAGCUUGACACUGAACAUUGAGCCUUGAUGUGUAGGAUAGGUGGGAGGCUUUGAAGUGUGGACGCCAGUCUGCAUGGAGCCGGCCUUGAAAUACCACCCUUUAAUGUUUGAUGUUCUAACGUGGACCCGUGAUCCGGGUUGCGGACAGUGUCUGGUGGGUAGUUUGACUGGGGCGGUCUCCUCCUAAAGAGUAACGGAGGAGCACGAAGGUUGGCUAAUCCUGGUCGGACAUCAGGAGGUUAGUGCAAUGGCAUAAGCCAGCUUGACUGCGAGCGUGACGGCGCGAGCAGGUGCGAAAGCAGGUCAUAGUGAUCCGGUGGUUCUGAAUGGAAGGGCCAUCGCUCAACGGAUAAAAGGUACUCCGGGGAUAACAGGCUGAUACCGCCCAAGAGUUCAUAUCGACGGCGGUGUUUGGCACCUCGAUGUCGGCUCAUCACAUCCUGGGGCUGAAGUAGGUCCCAAGGGUAUGGCUGUUCGCCAUUUAAAGUGGUACGCGAGCUGGGUUUAGAACGUCGUGAGACAGUUCGGUCCCUAUCUGCCGUGGGCGCUGGAGAACUGAGGGGGGCUGCUCCUAGUACGAGAGGACCGGAGUGGACGCAUCACUGGUGUUCGGGUUGUCAUGCCAAUGGCACUGCCCGGUAGCUAAAUGCGGAAGAGAUAAGUGCUGAAAGCAUCUAAGCACGAAACUUGCCCCGAGAUGAGUUCUCCCUGACCCUUUAAGGGUCCUGAAGGAACGUUGAAGACGACGACGUUGAUAGGCCGGGUGUGUAAGCGCAGCGAUGCGUUGAGCUAACCGGUACUAAUGAACCGUGAGG
rnacentral:rRNA from 1 species